rnacentral:rRNA from 1 species
GAUGAACGCUGGCGGCGUGCCUAAUACAUGCAAGUCGAGCGAACGGACGAGAAUCUUGCUUCUCUGAUGUUAGCGGCGGACGGGUGAGUAACACGUGGAUAACCUACCUAUAAGACUGGGAUAACUUCGGGAAACCGGAUCUAAUACCGGAUAAUAUUUUGAACCGCAUGGUUCAAAAGUGAAAGACGGUCUUGCUGUCACUUAUAGAUGGAUCCGCGCUGCAUUAGCUAGUUGGUAAGGUAACGGCUUACCAAGGCAACGAUGCAUAGCCGACCUGAGAGGGUGAUCGGCCACACUGGAACUGAGACACGGUCCAGACUCCUACGGGAGGCAGCAGUAGGGAAUCUUCCGCAAUGGGCGAAAGCCUGACGGAGCAACGCCGCGUGAGUGAUGAAGGUCUUCGGAUCGUAAAACUCUGUUAUUAGGGAAGAACAUAUGUGUAAGUAACUGUGCACAGCUUGACGGUACCUAAUCAGAAGGCCACGGCUAACUACGUG